UGCCACAGCAGAAACCGGGCUGCAUUACUUCUAAAGCCCCUUCUAAUUCCCUGCUGUGCUCCAAAUAGCAACCCCUUUUUGUUUGUGAUUUUAGCUGCUUCAGACUGUUUGAACUACUGUCCUCAGGGAACUGUGUCAGUAGUGACUCUGGUCAUGUUUCCAGGUUGUACAUGACAUCUGAAUCAGUGUCUCAGAAGCCUAAUGUGAAUUAUUCUUCUCUGUGACUGCUUCCACCCUUGCCCAUACUGAAGCACACCUGCUAUUUUCUGUCUGCCCCCACAGCCUGCUCUUGAGUGCCUUCUCCACGAUCAUCUAUUGAAAACCUGUCCUUUGUAAAACAACGAAUCAUACAAAACCAUGGUAUUGGCCCUAAACAGUUUCUGACCAGCUGUACUGCUGGGUAUCUGCCCUCAAAUCCUGCUUUUUACCAUUCCUUCAUGCAACCAGAGGGUUGCCGCCCAAUAGAUGUUUCAGAGCCUAUGAAACGUCCUCUGCCUUUGAAGUAGGAUUUUGUCAAAAACCUUUGGAAAGUACCUGGAUCUCCUUGGUUUCUGUGUUCAUUUUCUCCUUGAGUGAUUUCUGGCAGAUUUGGAUAUUGAAUAAUCCAAAAUUUAAAGAUGUCACUCUGGGAGUUCUUGCCGUGAUGCAGUGGGUUAAGAAUCUUAUUGCAGUGGCUUGGAUCACUGCAGAGGCUCGGGUUUGAUCCCCAGCCCAGCGCAGAGGGUUAAAGGAUCCAGUGUUGUCCCAGCUGCAGUGUAGUGUUAUAGCUGUGGCCUGGAUUUAGUCCCUGACCUGGGAACUUCCAUGUGCCAGGGCCGGGGUUGGGGGAGCCAUUAAAAAAAAAAAAAAAAAGAAGAAUUCUGCCUUUAACUAAGAGGUUAAGCUAGUUCAUUAGUGACAUUCGUGGUGAUCAGAGCUGGAAGGAAUCUUGGUGAUUAUCUAAGGUGCUACCACAUUUUACAAAUGAGAAAAUUGAAGCCCAGAGGAGUUAAGUGAUGUGAUGAAGGUGAUGCUGAGGCGGUCGGUGAGUAGCAGAGGGAGACUGGAGCUUAGCUGCCCCUUCCCAGCGAGAGGACGCCCCAGAGAAGUAGAGGUCAGGAGUCCUGCGGGCCUCAGUAGCCAUCAUAGCAGGGCUCCUGCAAAGGCCCCAAAAAGUUGGGUGAGAGCUUGCCCAUGAACUGGCAGCAGCCUUCCAGAAGGAGCCAGAGAUCCAGCACCAAGUUGAACCUCCCAGGGAAAAGCUGUAAAACCACACCUACUUUUAUGUGUAUUAAGUAAUAUAAAGGCGCCUUUUUUGUUGUUGUUGCCACACCCUCGGCAUGUGAAAGUUCCCGGACCAGGAAUUGAACUUGCGCUGCAGUUCAAAAUGCCCUUCCAUUUUCCUGCUAGUUCUGAGGACUGAAAUUGGUGAGAGGAAAUUUUCUUGAUGUUCAAGUAUCAAUUGUUCUUGACUGUUAUAAGAUCGCCCCACACAUUUGGCCAUGGCAAUUUCAUGCUCCGUUAUCUUCAGAAAGAUGGAAUUCACUCCGUCACUCAGAGAGUCAGCAGAAUUUUGAUUGUGCCCAAGAAUGAAGACUUAGCUCAAACUUCUUUGCACAAGCUGCAUGUGGAUGCUGCAAAACAUGUUUCCAACACUUGAACCGCUUACUUUGUGCUUAAAGUGUGCGCUCUGCACUAGAUGGUGCAGGAGUAUUGUCUUUUGAGUGUUUUUAUACAUUUUUUAGCUUUUAGGUCUAGUUCUCAUGUGGUUGGAACCAGCCAGCUGCAUAGUGAAGCAUCUUUGGGGCGACUUUUAUAGCCCAGUCAUUCACAUUGGCUGUUUAGAGGUUAGAGUGACCCUCUCUUUUGAAGUAGAAGAUGAGGCAGGCUGAAGGCAUCAGAGGGGGAGCACUGGGAGUCAAUUUGAGAUUGAGGACCCCCAGAGCCAACUGGAAAGUGUGUAGAACAUUCUCUCCAGGGCAAGCAAGAGGGGUUUAGGCCUUUCAGAUUGAUUCCUUCGUGCUUGUUAUUUACCAGAGAUGGUCCUAACACAGCAGAAACGAGUGGCGAGUGUGACGGAGUCCUUGCUCUCAAGGAUUCGAUGGUUCUAGAAGACCCUUCUGUGACCUGGCUGGGCUAUCAAGGUUGGCCCAGCACCAGGAGCUCAGUUCAGCCCGCUUCACACCAUCACACCGAGAGGGAGGUUGGGAAAGAGUCAAGAACCAACAGCCACCAAAGCGACUGAGCACAUCCUUCCUAUGGACAUCCUUCACCCGCCUUGACUGGGGGCUGGGGCUGCCCGCUAGGAUCCAGUGCUCAGGGUUACCUUGGCUGUAGCUUCUGGGGGGGUGGGGGAGCAGGACCCUAGAAGCAGUGGAGUUGUUCAUGCUGGGCGCCUGGAACUGAUGUUGCUUAGAAGGUCCCUCCACUGGUACAGGUCCCGAGGAGAUGAUAAUGGUAUUCAGUGGAGCCAGGGCAGGAAGAGAACAAAAACUCUUAGCCUUUUUUUGGGCUGCAUGAAAACCACAUCCUAGGAGAUGCACAAACCCACCCAACCAAAUAACAAUAGUUAUGGUAGGAAAACCAAACAAUCCUCCGGAGAAAUGAUAUUCAGAUCUUUCCUUCUCAAUCAAUGGCUGGAUCAUGUGAGAUCAUUAAAGUCCAAG
ensembl:lncRNA